AUUGAACGCUGGCGGCAUGCCUUACACAUGCAAGUCGAACGGUAACAGAUCUUCGGAUGCUGACGAGUGGCGAACGGGUGAGUAAUACAUCGGAACGUGCCCGAUCGUGGGGGAUAACGAAGCGAAAGCUUUGCUAAUACCGCAUACGAUCUACGGAUGAAAGCAGGGGACCGCAAGGCCUUGCGCGAACGGAGCGGCCGAUGGCAGAUUAGGUAGUUGGUGGGAUAAAAGCUUACCAAGCCGACGAUCUGUAGCUGGUCUGAGAGGACGACCAGCCAAACUGGGACUGAGACACGGCCCAGACUCCUACGGGAGGCAGCAGUGGGGAAUUUUGGACAAUGGGCGAAAGCCUGAUCCAGCCAUGCCGCGUGCAGGAUGAAGGCCUUCGGGUUGUAAACUGCUUUUGUACGGAACGAAAAGACUCUGGUUAAUACCUGGGGUCCAUGACGGUACCGUAAGAAUAAGCACCGGCUAACUACGUGCCAGCCGCCGCCGUAA
rnacentral:rRNA from 1 species